GACGAACGCUGGCGGCGUGCUUAACACAUGCAAGUCGAACGGAAAGGCCCUGCUCUUGUGGGGUGCUCGAGUGGCGAACGGGUGAGUAACACGUGAGUAACCUGCCCUUGACUUUGGGAUAACUUCAGGAAACUGGGGCUAAUAUCGGAUAGGAGCUCCUGCUGCAUGGUGGGGGUUGGAAAGUUUCGGCGGUUGUGGAUAGACUCGCGGCUUAUCAGCUUGUUGGUGGGGUAGUGGCUUACCAAGGCUUCGACGGAUAGCCGGCCUGAGAGGGUUAACGGCCACAAUGGUACUGCGAUACGGCGCAGAAUGCUACGGGAGGCAGCAGUGGGGAAUAUUGCACAGUGGGCGGAAGCCUGAUACAGCGACGCCGCGUGCGGGAUGACGGCCUACGAGUUGUAAACAGAUUUCGCCGGUGACGAAGCGUGAGUGACGGUAAUGGGUAAAAAAGCACCGGCUAACUACGUG
rnacentral:rRNA from 1 species